UCUUUCUGUUCUGGUUUUUUUUUUUUUUUCCUUUCCUCAAUUGUGAGGAGAGAUCCAGUAACCAACUGGCUUCAUUGCCACCAUUUUUCUGUGGGUCUCCACCAAGCAGGGCAUCAUACCCUGUAAUCCAAGAUGAGCAAUUUGGCAAUAGUAGCAAGAUGGCUCCAUUUUUUUCCAGCACCGCCAUCUUCAUUGUCUGAGCGCAACGAAGGGUGUGUUCGAAUGAAAAUGAACUACGCCAACUCAACAAAGCUCAAGCGAUUUCUAGACACCCCAAAACAUCAUUAGCAACUACUACGAAUUGGACUCAGAUGGCGAAGAGAGAUGGUUCUAGGUUAUGUUGGUGGCUGGGAUAGUUCUGAGAAGAAAUCUAGGAUGGAGCGCUGGGCACUGUGUUUCGUCGAUUGGAUCUGUGGUGGGGUUAAGCGAUAAGGAAGUCGGACUCGCGUGUUCAAAACAACAAGCGUCCUAUUUUGCGAACCCAAUUUUGGGUUCACUAUAUUAGCUGUACGAGUCGGGCUUUUUUUAACUAUUGGACAAUAUAAUCUCAUUUAAGAUAAUCAUCUCCCUUACUAAACAUGGGUUUCAAAUAUUAUUUAAUCCAAUCCAGUCCAGUGAGGCAUAAUGAAGCAUACCAAAUAGUAGUAGAGAUUUACUUCAUAUUGUAAUUUAGAUAUAUUUUCUAUUUUAUUUAGAGUUAAUAUAUCUUUGUACUUGUAUAAAUACCUCUAUAUUUGAGAAAAAUAAUAAUAUGAGUGAAUAUGAGCAUAAUUGAAUA